ACACGUAUGAAAGACAAGCUGAAAGACUUUUCUCAAUGAUGUAAGUGGUGGUGCAUGGUCGUUCUUAGUUCGUGGAUUGAUUUGUCUGGUCUAUUCCGAUAACGAGCGAGACCCCGACGUUCCUAAUAGGGGCGGCAGCCCGGCUUGACUGCUUCGGUGGUCCUGCUAGCAGCCGCUUUAUUAGCUUCUUAGACGUAUCAGAGCCGAUAAGGUUCUUGAAAUGGGUUAAUAACAGGUCAGUCAUGCCCUUAGAUGUUCUGGGCCGCACGCGCGUUACAAUGGUAUACAUUAGAACGUGCUCUCAAGGGCGUCUCCGCAGCCGACGGGUUGCGGUAACCCCUAAUCUCUCCCUUGACUGGGACAGACUAUUGCAAUUAUUGGUCUCCAACGAGGAAUUUUUAGUAGUCGCAGGUMAUUAACYUGCGACG
rnacentral:rRNA from 1 species